rnacentral:lncRNA from 1 species
UUUCCUCGGCGCUGCAGUCAGCUCCAAACGGGAGUGGCAGAUUCUAUUCUCUCUCUCUCCCUCUCUCUCUCUCCCCCCCCCUUCAGCGCACUCAGCGUUGUUGUGGGUAAAAGCGUUAUUUCUCGGUCCACGCUGGAGAAAGAAACCCACGGAUGGGCAAAAAACGAAUCGACCAUUCCAGGAUCUGUUCCACGCGACUGGCUGACAUAAGGGAUUCCUCCAUUUGGGGAAGAAACGCACCCCGAUGCAACUGGAUCACAUAAGGGUUAUGCACAGCGGAGCCCAGAUUCCCGACCGGAGCCUUUCGGAAUCCGCAGAUCGGAUCUGGGAAUAACCGUUGAGAGGAGGAGGAGUGCUGAAGCCAGGAUUUAAAAAACAAACAAACUCUGGUUUGGAAAUCUAACCGGGGAGAAGAGGAGACUGAGAAACAACCGAGACGGAUUUCAUGAAGGAAAUCCAAGUGAGAUUCCACUGAGACCCUUGGAGGGAUCGUUUUCGAAGCACCUCAGGUAAGACAAUCUGCUGUACUAACAUUUACAUCGGGGUCUGCAGUGCGUCUACAGGAGUUUGCCGUCACCAUUGGCUUGCACCACAAACAUACAGUAGCGCACGUCGACUGCUCACACACGCCGUACUCCCCAGUCUUUCCUGCGUCCUCCCC